AAGCUCCUGCCACUGCAGCACCUGCCACUGAAGCUCCUGCCACAGCAGCACCUACUUCUGCGUCAGAUAUAGUUUUUAACGUGACUUUCAGAUCUCUUCUCACCCCUAUUACAACUGAUUUGCUGGAUACAUCAUCCCCGGCUCUUCAGAGCCGAUCUUCAAUGAUAACGACACAGCUUGAACCUCUGUUUAAAAAUACAUUCCAAUCCUCAUUCAAGUCUUUGACCGUCACUGCCUUCAGUAAUGGAUCAAUCAUCAAUCAUAUGACCCUUACAUUUAUUAGCACAUUUGUUCCUAAUGACACUCAGAUUGCAGAAGUUUUGUUUAAUGCAUCAUCAACUGUAGUUGGCUUUGACAUUGAAGGAACCUCUGUCACCAUCAAUGGCAUAUCUUCUAGCGGAAUAAGCCACAAGUUCAGUCUUCUCACUGCAUUUUGUCUGGUAUCCUUGUCAUGGCUACUGUCAAACCAGAAAGAGCAUCAGCAUUGAUUGCACUCUGAAUUUCGGUUACAACAUGAAUACCAUUACCGGUAUGUCAAUUGUGUGUGUGUGUGUGGGGGGGGGACUGAUCUGUUAUCAACUUUGCCCUGAUAGGACACAGUUAUGACAGUGGAUUAGGUAUGUCUGUUGAAAAAAUAUAUAUAAUAACACCGUCUCUAAAGCUCUGGGAUCUUGGAAAAUGAUUGCAUUGUCUCUCAAAAUGACAUGUACUUUAGUCAACUGAUGGAAUUCUUUCUUGGGGGCAGUCCAAAUUAAGUAGCUGGUAUGUGAUCUGUGGAUGUUUGUAGCUUGUAGCAUUGCUCUGAGCGGCAUGAGACUCAUGUCCAACCGUUCUACUCUUAAAUGUAAAAAUGGACAAACGUCAAAACUCAAGAUACCUGUGAUGAAGCUCACUGCUGUUGCAUAUUUUAAUUUUGCUGAUAAUUGUUUGCAUUGUACAUGCACAUAGUUACUGUAAACACAGAAAAGCAUAGAACUUAAUUUGAUAGAUUGGCCCAUUGUCAUAAAUAACCAGUCUAUCUGUUUGAGUCUGUAUCCGGCAGAUAU